rnacentral:rRNA from 1 species
CCAACAGGGAUUGCCUCAGUAACGGCGAGUGAAGCGGCAACAGCUCAAAUUUGAAAUCUGGCCCCAGGCCCGAGUUGUAAUUUGCAGAGGAUGCUUUUGGCAAGGUGCCUUCCGAGUUCCCUGGAACGGGACGCCAUAGAGGGUGAGAGCCCCGUCUGGUCGGACACCGAGCCUCUGUAAAGCUCCUUCGACGAGUCGAGUAGUUUGGGAAUGCUGCUCAAAAUGGGAGGUAUAUGUCUUCUAAAGCUAAAUACCGGCCAGAGACCGAUAGCGCACAAGUAGAGUGAUCGAAAGAUGAAAAGCACUUUGAAAAGAGAGUUAAAUAGCACGUGAAAUUGUUGAAAGGGAAGCGUUUAUGACCAGACUUGGCCCGGUUGAUCAUCCAGCGUUCUCGCUGGUGCACUCUGCCGGUCCAGGCCAGCAUCAGUUCGUCGCGGGGGAUAAAGGUUUCGGGAAUGUGGCUCCUCCGGGAGUGUUAUAGCCCGUUGCGUAAUACCCUGCGGUGGACUGAGGUCCGCGCUCUGCAAGGAUGCUGGCGUAAUGGUCAUCAACGACCCGUCUUGAAACACGGACCAAGGAGUCGUCUUCGUAUGCGAGUGUUCGGGUGUAAAACCCCUACGCGUAAUGAAAGUGAACGCAGGUGAGAGCUUCGGCGCAUCAUCGACCGAUCCUGAUGUUCUCGGAUGGAUUUGAGUAAGAGCAUACGGGGCCGGACCCGAAAGAAGGUGAACUAUGCCUGUAUAGGGUGAAGCCAGAGGAAACUCUGGUGGAGGCUCGCAGCGGUUCUGACGUGCAAAUCGAUCGUCAAAUAUGGGCAUGGGGGCGAAAGACUAAUCGAACUUCUAG